CCUACGGGUGGCAGCAGUGGGGAAUUUUUGGCAAUGGGGGAAACCCUGACCAAGCAACGCCGCGUGGAUGAUGAAGUCUCUUGGGACGUAAAAUCCUUUCGACAGGGAAGAAAGCCGCAAGGUUUGACGGUACCUGUAGAAGAAGCCCCGGCUAACUCCGUGCCAGCAGCCGCGGUAAUACGGGGGGGGCAAGCGUUGUUCGGAAUUACUGGGCGUAAAGGGCGCGUAGGCGGUUUGUUAAGUUGGAUGUGAAAACUCUGGGCUCAACCCAGAGCCUGCAUCCAAUACUGACAGGCUAGAGUUCUGGAGGGGAUAGCGGAAUUCCUGGUGUAGCAGUGAAAUGCGUAGAUAUCAGGAGGAACACCGGUGGCGAAGGCGGCUAUCUGGACAGAGUCUGACGCUGAGGCGCGAAAGCUAGGGGAGCAAACAGGAUUAGAUACCCGAGUAGUC
rnacentral:rRNA from 1 species